ACCCUCUGCUAACCCAUGUACUAACAGGGUCCACUCUGUACCCUCUGCUAACCCAUGUACUAACAGGGUCCACUCCAUACCCUCUGCUAACCCAUGUACUAACAGGGUCCACUCCAUACCCUCUGCUAACCCAUGUACUAACAGGGUCCACUCCGUACCCUCUGCUAACCCAUGUACUAACAGGGUCCACUCCGUACCCUCUGCUAACCCAUGUACUAACAGGGUCCACUCCGUACCCUCUGCUAACCCAUGUACUAACAGGUUCCACUCCGUACCCUCUGCUAACCCAUGUACUAACAGGGUCCACUCCGUACCCUCUGCUACUGAGUAAGAAGGAGCUGAGGUGCUUUCCUUACCAGGUUCUCUAGUUUCUCAGUUGAUCCCUCAAAACUAGAAAAACAAUUCCUCUAGCCAUCUUCAUUGUCAUUGUUUGGUCUACUCCCUUCAACGUUGUAACUGAUAAGAAAUAGGCUGUCCUGAUCCAGUGGACUGUAAUUAAAGGCAUGCUGUGAACAUAGGUGUCCUGAACAGAGUCACCUCUAAGCUUUUUUUUUUUUUUUUUUUGUCUCAGCAGAGUCAGCAGACCGACUCUGAAUCCUGGUGGUCAUCUUACUUGACAGCUCAGCUGUACUUGAUAGUUGUCUACCUUCUUGAGAUACUUUCUUCUCUUGGUGACUCUGUAGCCAUUUUCCUGGUUUGACCCUAACCUCAGAGCAUUCCUCCUCAGUUUCUUCUCUCCUUCUUUCCCUCCCUCUCUCCUCCACCCUUCCCUCCUAUCUUUCCUUAUUCAUUGUCAUUUAGAAUAAUGGCACUAGUACCAACUAUAUUUUGAGCUCUAGAUUUUUUCCUAGGCUUGAACUUUGCACUUUUUAAAGUAAAUGAGACAAUAUAUGGCUCUAAACUUUGUUACUGUCAUAUACAAACUCCUAGACACUGCAAACUUAGAAUCCAAUCCGUCCCCUGAACCCCAAAAGAUACAAA